CGCGUAGGCGACUUGGCAAGUCAGAUGUGAAAUUCCGGGGCUCAACCUCGGAGCUGCAUUUGAAACUGCCAGGAUUGAGGAUAGGCGGAGAAAAUGGAAUUCCACGUGUAGCGGUGAAAUGCGUAGAUAUGUGGAAGAACACCGGUGGCGAAGGCGGUUUUCUAGCUUAUUCCUGACGCUGAGGCGCGAAAGCAAGGGGAGCAAACA
rnacentral:rRNA from 1 species